AAAGAUGGGAGGAGAAGAGAGAGUUAAAACAAACAUGACAAAAUGUAAAAAUCAGUUCAAUAUUAUGAUACGGUGAAGAUAGGAAUAUGUGAUUAUUUUUGUACUUUUCUAUGUCUGAAUACUUCAUUAUUUAACCCUAAAAGAAAAUAUUAGAGAAUAUGUCUCAGAGAAAUAAGAACUUGAGAGUCAUUCUGUUAGGCCUUAAGUGGUCAUUGGGAGAGCAGAGAUUGACAUUCUGUGAAUAGGGCUCAGGGUCUUAACUGUAAAAUAAAUUAGAUUAUUUUAAGACUACCUCCAAUUUGGAAGAAAGACUUUCAAUUUUAUGAAUGUUUUGAUAAAAUCACAGCUGUUGGUCAAUGAAAGCUUUAAUUCUGUGAAGAGUGAAAUAGUCCUCCAAUUGGAUCAGCUCUUUAGUUUUUACAAUCAAGUGUCAACUUUGUUCUUAGCUGUACCUAAGGCAUAUAGACCACUUUCAGCAAGCAUUCACUAGAUUGACCAGCUAUUAUAAACUAGGCACUGUUCUAGGCACUCGAGAUAAGACAGAAAACAAAACAGAUUUUUAAAAAGUUCUACUUUCCCUGUUAAAAGAAUGAAAAGACAAGUCACAGAGUGGAAGACAAUAUUUACAAAACACAUCUGAUAAAGGACUUAUAUCAAAAAUAUGAAGAGAACUCUUAAAACAGCAUUAAGAAAGCAAACGAUGCAACUUAAAAAUGGGCAAAAGAUCAAAACAGAAACUUCACUAAAGGUGGUGAGGAUGUGGAGCAGCAGGAACUCUUAUUCAUUGCUGGUAGAAGUGCAAAAUGGUACAGCCACUUUGGAAAACAGUCUAGCAGUUUCUUACAAGCUAAGCGUAGUCUUACCAUACAAUCCAGCAAUUACACGCUUUGGUGUCUAUCCAAAUGAGUUGAAAAUGUGUGUCCACAAAAAACCCUGCACACAAAUGUUUAUAGCAGCUUUAUUCAUCAUUACCAAAACUUAGAGGCAACCAAGAUGGCUUCAGUAGGUGAAUGAAUAACUAAAUUGUGAUAUAUCCAGACAAUACAAUAUGAUAUGGUAAUGAAAAGAAAUUAGCUGUCAAGCCACAAAAAGAUGUGGAGGAAAUUUAAAGGCAUAUUGCUAAGUGAAAGAAGCCUGUCUGAAAAGACAACGUGCUGUAUGAUUCCAACUGUAAGACAUUCUAGAAAAGGCAAAACUAUAGAGACAGUGAAAAGAUCAGAAGUUGCCAGUGGUUCAGGGAUGGAGGGAAGAGGGAUGAAUAGGUGGAGCACAGGGGAUUUUUUAGGAUCACCUAUGUGAUCCUGUAAUAUGGAUACAUGACAUUAUACAUUUGCCAAAACCCAUAAGACUGUACGAAACAAAGAGUAAACUUACGUUAAUAAUAAUGCAUAAAGAUCAGUUCAUCAGUUGUAGCAAAUGUACCACACUAAUGCAAGAUAUUAAUAACAAGGGAAAUUUAGGGGGGUUAGGGUGAGAUGGGAAAGGGCAUUAAGGAAACUCUAUGUACUUUCUACUCAAUUUUUCUCUAAAAUUAAAACUGAUCUAAAAAAUAAAGUCUACUAAUUAAAAAAAAAGAAUCCUUGUCUUUGUGGAGCAUACACAAUGGUUGGGGGAAAUAAGUAAUGUGUUUAUAGAAGAUGGAAAUACUAAUACAUUCCAUGGAGGAAGGAAAAAAGCAGAGAAAGCCAAUAGAGAGUGAGGAGUUGCCAUUUUAAUUGGAUGACAUGGAAGGCUUCCAUGAGAAAGGACAUUUAAGAAUCAAUAAAAAACUCAAAAUGCUUCCACUGGAUGGGCACGCCAGACCUCAUUUUCAAUGAAGCAUCUGUCAGAGGCUCAGGAAAACACUAGUGAAAGGGUAGAUUAGAUGACAACACUUAACCCUUGAUCAGUGUUAACAGUACUAAAAAUGGGACCACGAGACCUCAUGUGCCGCCUGAUGGAAUGCAAUCGGAAACACGCGAUAGUACCUAUGGAGUAUUUGCCAAAAUAAAUGCAUCUGAAUCUAAGCAAGCUUCACACUCAGGCAGCAAGCUCAUGAAAAAUACAAAGGAACAAGUUAUUAGAUUAAUGGGUUGAAUGAGAAUGCGAUCAGCAAAAUCUGGCAUGCCGGAAGUUCUACAGGACAAAUGAACCAAUGUCUUCAACAAACAAAAAAACGGCUAAAAAUGGGGAAGUGGGAACUUUCAUAGAUUAGAAAAUACCUAAGAGACAUUUCAACCAAAUGCAAUUUGUGGACUUUACUCUGUGAUUUCAACAGGACUGUAAAAUAUAUUUGAGAAAAUUGGGGACAUUUGAACACGGACUGCGUAAUAGGUGAAAUAAUAGAAUUAAUGUUAAUUUUGUCAGGUAUGAUAAUGGAAUGGUGGGUUUGUGGUUUUUAAAAAUGCUCAUCUGUUCGAUUUAUAUACUACUGACUUAAUUAUGGAUAAAACAAUAUGACAUCAAAAAAGGUGAAUAAUAGAUAAAGCAAGAUGGACAACUGGGGCUGGACCUGUGCUUGGUGGGUCCUUGGUGUACCUGGUGGGUCCUGAGCACCACCCCGGUGGUUCUAGGUGUGCCCUGUCAAAUUCCUGAAAACUCCUCUUAUAAAUGUGCAAAUAUUUAUAAUCAGUUUUUUUUUUUUAAUAAAAAGAGUCUAACAUUCUAUGGCGACAUUAUGUGUAAAAAAAUUCCUUUGGAUCAGUUAUGUGAAAUAUUUUUUAAAAACCAAGAAAAAUGUUAAAAAUUGUUGAAUUUGAAUAUUGUGUCAAUGGGGUUCAUUAUACUGUCUUUCUACUUUUGGAUGUUUGAGAAUUUCCUUAAUAGAACAAUUUUGAAAGUCUAGGAAUACUAAGAGAUAUUAGAAAAUUAAAAGCAACAGUCUAAGACUGAUUUUCAAGGUGUUUUGUUUUGGGUUAAAGACAAUUUCUUUUAAAAGGCAAUUAUGGACAAGUCAAAUAUGCACAACAGAUACAUUUGGAACUACCUGACUGUGAUGGAGUCACUCUUCUCUCCUCUGCCCCCAGAGAUACAGCACAUACAGUUUGAAGUUAGUUCAAUUAAGAUACACCUUAUUUAUCAUCCUAAAUACACCAUGAAGACCUAAAAGAAAUAUGAGGUAAUAUGCUCUAAAUAUAAUUUUUGAUAUAAGAUAUGACAGAAUAAAAAUUGUUUGCAUCUUUUUUGAAAAUCACUAUGGAAGAUGUUGUCCACUGAAUGACUCCUGUAAACCUAUUUAAGUAUCAUAGUAGAGUUUACACAUAGGAAAAUGAUUGCUUCCUUUUGUUUAUAAAUGAUCUGUUUCUCUAUGUUACCUUGACUUUCACAUACGUGAGAGCUAAACUGAAGCUACCAUAAUUAAUUUAGGUUCUCUUACACAACGAACCCUGCUCAUUUCCAUCCCAUCCAGCUUUAUUUAAUGAUUCUAUUGAUGUAUCUGUUGUGGACAUAUUUUAUUUUGUCCCCCCAGCCCAAACACUCCCUCUUCUGAUAGCAGCAGCACCUUCUUUUAGAUAAACCCUUCUCCCCACCUGUCCCAACUCCAACCUUGUCGUUUUAGUAAUGCAGUCAACCUCUGCCUUCUGCCACUCUCAGAC
rnacentral:lncRNA from 10 species